AGGUGCAAUCAUACUAUCACUAAUGCACCAGAGCCCAUCAGAACUCCGUAGUUAUAUGUGCUUUGGCGAGAGUAGUACUAGGAUGGGUGACCUCCUGAGAAGUCCUCGUGUUACACCCC
rnacentral:rRNA from 1 species